rnacentral:rRNA from 1 species
GAUGAACGCUGGCGGCGUGCUUAACACAUGCGAGUCGAACGGAAAGGCCCUGCUUUUGUGGGGUGCUCGAGUGGCGAACGGGUGAGUAACACGUGAGUAACCUGCCCUUGACUUUGGGAUAACUUCAGGAAACUGGGGCUAAUACCGGAUAGGAGCUCCUGCUGCAUGGUGGGGGUUGGAAAGUUUCGGCGGUUGGGGAUGGACUCGCGGCUUAUCAGCUUGUUGGUGGGGUAGUGGCUUACCAAGGCUUUGACGGGUAGCCGGCCGGAGAGGGUGACCGGCCACAUUGGGACUGAGAUACGGCCCAGACUCCUACGGGAGGCAGCAGUGGGGAAUAUUGCACAAUGGGCGGAAGCCUGAUGCAGCAACGCCGCGUGCGGGAUGACGGCCUUCGGGUUGUAAACCGCUUUCGCCUGUGACGAAGCGUGAGUGACGGUAAUGGGUAAAGAAGCACCGGCUAACUACGUG